UAGGAGAUAGUUUAACCAGAAAAACCAAGAAAUUUGAAUUCUUAAAUACAAGUGCAACUCUUGUCUUCCUAA
rnacentral:tRNA from 1 species